rnacentral:rRNA from 1 species
GAUGAACGCUGGCGGCGUGCCUAAUACAUGCAAGUCGAACGCAUUGUGGUUGAAAUGAUAUGAGGAACUUGUUCAGAUUUGAUUUUCAACAUUGCAAUGAGUGGCGAACGGGUGAGUAACACGUGGGAAACCUACCUCUUAGCAGGGGAUAACAUUUGGAAACAAAUGCUAAUACCGUAUAAUAAUUAAAACCGCAUGGUUUUAGUUUAAAAGAUGGUCUUGCUAUCACUAAGAGAUGGUCCCGCGGUGUAUUAGUUAGUUGGUGAGGUAAUGGCUCACCAAGACAAUGAUACAUAGCCGAGUUGAGAGACUGACCGGCCACAAUGGGACUGAGACACGGCCCAUACUCCUACGGGAGGCAGCAGUAGGGAAUCUUCCACAAAUGGACGAAAGUCUGAUGGAGCAACGCCGCGUGUGUGAUGAAGGGUUUCGGCUCGUAAAACACUGUUGUAAGAGAAGAAUGACAUUGAGAGUAACUGUUCAAUGUGUGACGGUA